UAGAUUGGUUUGACUCAAGUUUAUUUGUAAAUCCUAUAGAAACUUUUUUUCAGUAUUCACACUUGCUUUGAUCAAAAAUUUUUUGAACUCAGUCUCACGAAUCACAUAGGACUUCUCCUUUUCUAUCAAAGUCGAUAGAUUCCAUCUAGGUGUAUCAUACUCCAAACAGUGAAUCUGAAUCUACUAAAGCCAACAUACACAGCAGAG
rnacentral:lncRNA from 1 species